UACGAAGGGGGCUAGCGUUGCUCGGAAUUACUGGGCGUAAAGGGCGCGUAGGCGGCACUGUUAGUCAGGCGUGAAAUUCCUGGGCUCAACCUGGGGACUGCGCUUGAUACGGCAGAGCCAGAGGAUGGAAGAGGCUCGCGGAAUUCCCAGUGUAGAGGUGAAAUUCGUAGAUAUUGGGAAGAACACCGGUGGCGAAGGCGGCGAGCUGGUCCAUUACUGACGCUGAGGCGCGACAGCGUGGGGAGCAAACAGG
rnacentral:rRNA from 1 species